rnacentral:rRNA from 1 species
UACGUAGGGGGCAAGCGUUGUCCGGAAUCAUUGGGCGUAAAGAGCGUGUAGGCGGCCCGGUAAGUCCGCUGUGAAAGUCGGGGGCUCAACCCUCGAAUGCCGGUGGAUACUGUCGGGCUAGAGUGCGGGAGAGGCGAGUGGAAUUCCGUGGUGUAGCGGUGAAAUGACGCAGAUAUCAGGAGGAACACCGAUUGCGAAGGCAGCUCGGCUGGAACGUAACUGACGCUGAGACGCGAAAGCGUGGGGAGCAAACAGG